CUCUCGUCUCUCAACCCUUUCGUCGUCACUCUCAAUCUCUCUUCUCUCAACUCUCUCGGCCCCUGUCUCAGUCUCUUUGCCGAUUUGCCCCCACGAUUAAAUCAGUAGACAACCGUAUCCUUCAAGAGCAGUUGCAGAAUAAGUGACUAAGGUGGAGAAGAAUGCAUAUUGUAAUGGAGACUGUGGCAAGGGUGGUUAUGUCUGUAGAGUCUGUUUCCAGUGGCAAGGGUGGUUGUUUUGUUCCUAUACCAAAGAUGUGUAGAAUUCGAACUAAAGAAUAAGAAGUUGGAUGAUGUGCAUUUUAUAUAUG